rnacentral:tRNA from 1 species
GUGAAAAUAAUUUAAAACAAAAUAUUUGCUUUGCAAGCAAAAUAUCUAGAAUAAUAUUCUAGUUUUUACA